GACGAACGCUGGCGGCGUGCUUAACACAUGCAAGUCGAACGGUGAAGCGCCUUCCUUUGUGGUGGGUGUGGAUGAGUGGCGAACGGGUGAGUAACACGUGAGUAACCUGCCCCCUUCUUCUGGAUAACCGCAUGAAAGUGUGGCUAAUACGGGAUAUUCUGUGCCUGCUGCAUGGUGGGUGUGGGAAAGAUUGCGCCUUUGGGUGUUUUUGGUGGGGGAUGGGCUCGCGGCCUAUCAGCUUGUUGGUGGGGUGAUGGCCUACCAAGGCGGUGACGGGUAGCCGGCCUGAGAGGGUGGACGGUCACACUGGGACUGAGACACGGCCCAGACUCCUACGGGAGGCAGCAGUGGGGAAUAUUGCACAAUGGGCGCAAGCCUGAUGCAGCGACGCCGCGUGAGGGAUGGAGGCCUUCGGGUUGUGAACCUCUUUCGCCAGUGAAGCAGGCCUGUCCCUGUGUGGGUGGUUGAUCGUAGCU
rnacentral:rRNA from 1 species